rnacentral:rRNA from 1 species
AUUGAACGCUGGCGGCAGGCCUAACACAUGCAAGUCGAGCGGAUGAAGGGAGCUUGCUCCUGGAUUCAGCGGCGGACGGGUGAGUAAUGCCUAGGAAUCUGCCUGGUAGUGGGGGAUAACGUCCGGAAACGGGCGCUAAUACCGCAUACGUCCUGAGGGAGAAAGUGGGGGAUCUUCGGACCUCACGCUAUCAGAUGAGCCUAGGUCGGAUUAGCUAGUUGGUGGGGUAAAGGCCUACCAAGGCGACGAUCCGUAACUGGUCUGAGAGGAUGAUCAGUCACACUGGAACUGAGACACGGUCCAGACUCCUACGGGAGGCAGCAGUGGGGAAUAUUGGACAAUGGGCGAAAGCCUGACCCAGCCAUGCCGCGUGUGUGAAGAAGGUCUUCGGAUUGUAAAGCACUUUAAGUUGGGAGGAAGGGCAGUAAGUUAAUACCUUGCUGUUUUGACGUUACCAACAGAAUAAGCACCGGCUAACUUCGUGCCAGCAGCCGCGGUAAUACGAAGGGUGCAAGCGUUAAUCGGAAUUACUGGGCGUAAAGCGCGCGUAGGUGGUUCAGCAAGUUGGAUGUGAAAUCCCCGGGCUCAACCUGGGAACUGCAUCCAAAACUACUGAGCUAGAGUACGGUAGAGGGUGGUGGAAUUUCCUGUGUAGCGGUGAAAUGCGUAGAUAUAGGAAGGAACACCAGUGGCGAAGGCGACCACCUGGACUGAUACUGACACUGAGGUGCGAAAGCGUGGGGAGCAAACAGGAUUAGAUACCCUGGUAGUCCACGCCGUAAACGAUGUCGACUAGCCGUUGGGAUCCUUGAGAUCUUAGUGGCGCAGCUAACGCGAUAAGUCG